CCCUUAGAUGUCCUGGGCCGCACGCGCGCUACACUGAUGCAUUCAACGAGUUUCACCUUGGCCGAGAGGCCUGGGCAAUCUUUUAAACCUGCAUCGUGAUAGGGAUAGAUUAUUGCAAUUGUUAAUCUUGAACGAGGAAUUCCUAGUAAACGCAAAUCAUCAAUUUGCAUUGAUUACGUCCCUGCCCUUUGUACACACCGCCCGUCGCACCUACCGAUUGAAUGGUCCGGUGAGGCCUCGGGAUUGUGGCCAGUUCACUUUAUUGGGAGUUGGCUGUGAGAACUUGUCUAAACCUUAUCAUUUAGAGGAAGGUGAAGUCGUAACA
rnacentral:rRNA from 1 species